rnacentral:misc_RNA from 1 species
AGUUGCAGUAUGGCGAAGGACGUACGUGUAUUGGAGAUAUUCUUCUCCGAAGCUUCAGCUACUUUUUCAGCUGGUGGCGAGGUUUCAGGAGGAGUUGUAAUCGUUACAAACUCAGAUAUUAAAGCAAAAGAUGAUGACGUCACGAAGGAAAUAAAGACGAAAAUAACAUCUGCAAAAAGUUACUCGUAGGCUCAUUAAAGUGCCAUAAUGCCAGUAUUUCGUGGAAAAAUCAACUGAAUAAAAGCAAUUGGCCUUCAAAGUCUUGAUUCUGUAAAUUUUCUAAUUACCACCUAAUUUUUGUAGGUUAAUUAAAUAUUAUCUUUUGAAUGUGGAAUUUAUGAAUUUCUCCUUCAAAAAAAUACAUACAUAGCUUUAAAUAAUCUGAUAAUCUUCAACGCCAAAACAGCUAUCAAGCUUAACAUACAUGGUUUAGCAAGGUGUCAUUGGGAUGAGAAAAGGGCAUAUACAAAGGGCUCGGCCAGUACUUUAUCCCACAAAGAUGCUGAAAUAUAUAUGGACGAAACGAUAAUUUUAUGUAGACCAGACGGUCAUCUUCCAAGUGGAAAACAUACGCAUCGUUUCAAAGUUAGACUACCUCCAUUUGCUCCAGCCUCUUUCGACGGCCAGUUCGGGAGAGUUCAAUACUGGGCAAAAGUGGUUAUAGAGAGACCCUUCGGGAAGGACAACAUUGAAGCAGUAAAGGCAUUCAAUGUAAAAGGCAUUUUGGAUUUGAAUGCUGAUCCUGAUGCAAAGAAAGCAGCUGAGAAUGCUGGCGAAACAACACCGGGUCUAUUUUGUUUUAAAUCAGGACGAAUAUCCGCUUCCUUAUCUGUUGAUAGGCGGUCUACUGCCCCGGGCCUAUCUGUGCCCUUUACAGCUAUUAUCAAAAAUGAGAGUGGAGCGAGAGUAAAAUCAGCACGAAUUAUUCUCAGCCAACAAGUCAUUUAUAAGGCCGAUAAACAAACCAGACGACAUUCAACACCUCUCAAAGGUGUUUCAAGGAAUAAAGAAAUUGGUGCGGGAACUGAAAGUUGGGUUGGAGAGAUAACUGAUAUUCCGCCCGUAGUUCCAUCCCACUUAGGAGCUGGAUGCAAGUUUAUCGAUGUUCGCUAUAUCCUAACGCUUAUCGUCGUCCCAAAAGGUCCGGGGAAAGAGUUAGAAGUCCCAUUGGAAAUAGUUAUUGGUACUGUCCCUGUAAGAAGACCAAGUUCUGUUGGACCUCAGUUAACAGUUCGAGGUGCUAUUGCAAGAGCUUCCGCCGGACAUUUGGACGUUAACGAUCUCCGUGAGGCUGUAUUUAGAGCUGACAAGCCAAAGAAUUAACUUAUUUUCUUUCUGAGUUUCUUUAAAAAAACAAAAACAACUAACUUUCUCUGCUUUCUUGUUUGCAUAUUAAAAUAUCUAUAUCA